AAGGAUUUAAGUUAAUAAAACUAGUAACCUUCAAAGUUACCAUUAAAGGCUAACCUUUAAGCCUUA
rnacentral:tRNA from 1 species